CCUAACGGCUGAACUGGCAACUUGGAGAAGUGGCAAGUCUUCCAGUAUGGGGAGCAAACAGCUAUGGGUCAAGCCCGACAUCUUUAGGAGAAGUCUUAUUGUGAGGGCGAGUUGUAAAACACCAUAGGGCUGGCCGUCCCAUAUGAAAAGAUUUUAUUAGAAUUGAAUGAAACUUUGUUUAUAUAUUGAUAAUGACAGUAUAUAUAUCGUGUCUUGACUAAUUGCGUGCCAGCAGUCGCGGUAAUACGUAAGAGACUAGUGUUAUUCAUCUUAAUUAGGUUUAAAGGGUACCCAGACGGUCAAUAUAGCUUAUAAAAUGUUAGUACUUGACUAGAGUUUUAUGUAAGAGGGCAGUACUUGAGGAGGAGAGAUGAAAUUUCGUGAUACCAAAGGGACUCUGUAAAGGCGAAGGCAGCCCUCUAUGUAAAAACUGACGUUGAAGGACGAAGGCACAGAGAACAAACAGGAUUAGAUACCCAAGUAGUCUUUGCAGUAAAUGAUGAAUGCCAUAGGUUAGAUUAGUUAAUUAUAGGCUAAUAGACUAUACAUUAAAAAUUAUUUGGUCUAUAAAUGAAAGUGUAAGCAUUUCACCUCAAGAGUAAUGUGGCAACGCAGGAACUGAAAUCA
rnacentral:rRNA from 1 species